rnacentral:lncRNA from 1 species
UACCUUCUGAGUGAGGAGCAGAGCAGGCGCUGGCGUCUACAGGUGAGGCGGUAUUCUGUGACCUCACAGCUUUGGAUGGCAAAGCAAUUGCUCAGCAUGAUGUGAAGAAUCAGUCCAAAAAGCUGCCACAAACCCUCUUGAUGAGAGAUUAAAAAAAAAAACACACCUUUUUUUUUUUUAAACAAAAGAAAUCCCAGUAAUAUGAGGGAUAUGGAUGUUAGUAAUUACCACACAUUGAAAGUAUUGUUUAGCGUGAAAAGUAAAACUUUCAAAAAAUUUCCUUGAUUCUAUUUAAUAAAUAAUUUGAAGGAACCACUUAUGCAAAACUUGAUUACUGAAAACGCCACAUGCUGUGGAUAAUUAAAAACAAAAAGGAAUUACUCACAGGAGAUACUCAAAUUAGUUUAUUAUAAUUCUUCAAACAAGUAAAAAAACUCCUCCCCGUUUUUUUUUUGUUUUGUUUUGUUUUUUGUUUUUGCUGCUCUUUAUGUAGGGGAAAAGCAUCCUUUCUGGAGAAGGAGAAGCUGGCUCCAAUGAAGAGAUGGUCUACUGCCUGUUUUCCAAAGGUACACCCACAGCAAGGCUGGGUGCUUUCUCCUCUCUUGGGAUUAUUAGAGGCUAUUCUAAGGCUCUCACAGGUUUUAAAAGAUUCUUUUGCUAAUGAGGAUUUUACCCAUCUUAUCUGUAUUUCUUUGAAAAAAGAUCUUUCCUUAGUGAGGCAGAUUUCACUCCUCAGAGUCCUUGACCAAGAACGAUAUUCUCCAGAGGUAAUCUUGGAAGGAAGAGAGGCGCAGGCCGGGUUUCAGAGCGGCCUAGCGGGGGCUUACACAGUGACCAUAGGGUCAACUCCUCGCCUCUCUCCUGGCCCACCGAUGGUUGCUUCCUAGGGGCUCUCCAGCGACAGUUCACUGUGGAAGUGUCUUCAAAGGAGAAAAGUGAGCAGACUGUCAUCUUUGCUCAUAUAAGGGCAACUCCAAAUAGUGAGUUCAGAACCUUGCUUUGGGGACCCAAGGUGUCUUUGGAAAGCUCCUGUCACCUGAGCUGCCCGGCACCGGGAUAUAUAGCUACACCUCACAGCGUCUUGCGAGGUAGGUUGUCCGGUGCCAUCCUAC